GAUGAACGCUGGCGGCGUGCCUAAUACAUGCAAGUCGAGCGAACGGACGAGAAGCUUGCUUCUCUGAUGUUAGCGGCGGACGGGUGAGUAACACGUGGAUAACCUACCUAUAAGACUGGGAUAACUUCGGGAAACCGGAGCUAAUACCGGAUAAUAUUUUGAACCGCAUGGUUCAAAAGUAAAAGACGGUCUUGCUGUCACUUAUAGAUGGAUCCGCGCUGCAUUAGCUAGUUGGUAAGGUAACGGCUUACCAAGGCAACGAUGCAUAGCCGACCUGAGAGGGUGAUCGGCCACACUGGAACUGAGACACGGUCCAGACUCCUACGGGAGGCAGCAGUAGGGAAUCUUCCGCAAUGGGCGAAAGCCUGACGGAGCAACGCCGCGUGAGUGAUGAAGGUCGUCGGAUCGUAAAACUCUGUUAUUAGGGAAGAACAUAUGUGUAAGUAACUGUGCACAUCUUGACGGUACCUAAUCAGAAAGCCACGGCUAACUACG
rnacentral:rRNA from 1 species